rnacentral:rRNA from 1 species
AUUGAACGCUGGCGGCAGGCUUAACACAUGCAAGUCGAGCGGGCGAGGUUGCUUCGGUAACUGAGCUAGCGGCGGACGGGUGAGUAAAGCUUAGGAAUCUGCCUAUUAGUGGGGGACAACAUUCCGAAAGGGAUGCUAAUACCGCAUACGUCAUACGGGAGAAAGCAGGGGAUCACUUGUGACCUUGCGCUAAUAGAUGAGGCUAAGUUGGAUUAGCUAGUUGGUGGGGUAAAGGCCUACCAAGGCGACGAUCUGUAGCGGGUCUGGGAGGAUGAUCCGCCACACUGGGACUGAGACACGGCCCAGACUCCUACGGGAGGCAGCAGUGGGGAAUAUUGGACAAUGGGGGGAACCCUGAUCCAGCCAUGCCGCGUGUGUGAAGAAGGCCUUUUGGUUGUAAAGCACUUUAAGCGAGGAGGAGGCUCCUGUAGAUAAUACCUACAGUGAGUGGACGUUACUCGCAGAAUAAGCACCGGCUAACUCUGUGCCAGCAGCCGCGGUAACAC